rnacentral:rRNA from 1 species
UCCAUGCCGUAAACGUUGUAUACUAGAUGUGGGGGGAUUAAGCCCCCUCCGUGUCCAAGCUAACGCGAUAAGUAUACCGCCUGGGGACUACGGCCGCAAGGCUAAAACUCAAAGGAAUUGACGGGGACCCGCACAAGCGGUGGAGCAUGUGGCUUAAUUCGAGGCAACGCGAAGAACCUUACCUGGGUUUGACAUGUUUAGGACCGCUCUAGAGAUAGAGCUUUCUUUCGAGA